rnacentral:rRNA from 1 species
CGGCCGCAAGGUUAAAACUCAAAUGAAUUGACGGGGGCCCGCACAAGCGGUGGAGCAUGUGGUUUAAUUCGAUGCAACGCGAAGAACCUUACCUACUCUUGACAUCCAGAGAACUUUCCAGAGAUGGAUUGGUGCCUUCGGGAACUCUGAGACAGGUGCUGCAUGGCUGUCGUCAGCUCGUGUUGUGAAAUGUUGGGUUAAGUCCCGCAACGAGCGCAACCCUUAUCCUUUGUUGCCAGCGGUUCGGCCGGGAACUCAAAGGAGACUGCCAGUGAUAAACUGGAGGAAGGUGGGGAUGACGUCAAGUCAUCAUGGCCCUUACGAGUAGGGCUACACACGUGCUACAAUGGCAUAUACAAAGAGAAGCGACCUCGCGAGAGCAAGCGGACCUCAUAAAGUAUGUCGUAGUCCGGAUUGGAGUCUGCAACUCGACUCCAUGAAGUCGGAAUCGCUAGUAAUCGUAGAUCAGAAUGCUACGGUGAAUACGUUCCCGGGCCUUGUACACACCGCCCGUCACACCAUGGGAGUGGGUUGCAAAAGAAGUAGGUAGCUUAACCUUCGGGAGGGCGCUUACCACUU